rnacentral:rRNA from 1 species
CAUGCAGUCGACGGUGAACUUUGGAGCUUGCUCUAAGGGGAUCAGUGGCGAACGGGUGAGUAACACGUGAGUAACCUGCCCCGGACUCUGGAAUAAGCGCUGGAAACGGCGUCUAAUACCGGAUACGAGACGCAACCGCAUGGUUAGUGUCUGGAAAGUUUUUCGGUCUGGGAUGGACUCGCGGCCUAUCAGCUUGUUGGUGAGGUAAUGGCUCACCAAGGCGACGACGGGUAGCCGGCCUGAGAGGGCGACCGGCCACACUGGGACUGAGACACGGCCCAGACUCCUACGGGAGGCAGCAGUGGGGAAUAUUGCACAAUGGGCGAAAGCCUGAUGCAGCGACGCCGCGUGAGGGAUGACGGCCUUCGGGUUGUAAACCUCUUUCAGCAGGGAAGAAGCGAAAGUGACGGUACCUGCAGAAGAAGCACCGGCUAACUACGUGCCAGCAGCCGCGGUAAUACGUAGGGUGCGAGCGUUGUCCGGAAUUAUUGGGCGUAAAGAGCUUGUAGGCGGUUUGUCGCGUCUGCUGUGAAAAUCCGGGGCUCAACCCCGGACUUGCAGUGGGUACGGGCAGACUAGAGUGUGGUAGGGGAGACUGGAAUUCCUGGUGUAGCGGUGAAAUGCGCAGAUAUCAGGAGGAACACCGAUGGCGAAGGCAGGUCUCUGGGCCACUACUGACGCUGAGAAGCGAAAGCAUGGGGAGCGAACAGGAUUAGAUACCCUGGUAGUCCAUGCCGUAAACGUUGGGCGCUAGGUGUGGGACUCAUUCCACGAGUUCCGUGCC